ensembl:lncRNA
ACCAUGGAAACCAGGAUGGUGAUGCGUCGAGAGCAGGAGGAGCAGUCGUCCCAGAUGUCUCACAGCAUGCAGCUGUCCUCCCAGAUCAAGAAGAAGACCUUCACUUCAAGCGAUGAGGAGGCCUCCUAUUCAGGUGUCUUUCCCAUCAUACCCGGUGAUGUGAUGUCAGUCAAAGAGGUCCUCGACAUGGACAACUUUCCUCGGCACAGGACAUGGACGAUGCAGGCAAAUGAUCCUCUUUAAAAACAAUAACAUCCUUGAGGUCCAAAAAUGUGACUCAAAAGCAUAGAAAGUGGUGCAACCAAAUGAUCCUUUAAAUAGUCCUAGUAGCAGAGGCUCACAAAAACCAGAAGCCUGCAUCUGCAAGUCUUGAUGCGGGGAUUUCUAAUGCCGGAUGAGUCUUCUGUGUAUGAAAAAAAAAAAGGGCAGCAACCAUGGACGAGUCUCUUCACACUGUCAACAAGGCUCCACUUUUUUUCCCUGAGGACUUCCUUCCUGGAUGAUCUGUUUAUGUCAUAAAACCCCUGCCUCUCCGUCACUAUCCAUGCUCUCUCUCUCCACUUUAUUUGAGAAAGAAGAGUGGGUCAACUUCCACUGAUGCUUUGCCCAGCGAGCUAAUAAAGCACAAGAGCUUUUCUGUCAAUAGAGAAUCUCAAUAAACAACGGAAAUCAGGGCUUUUUCCCU